AGUGAACGCUGGCGGUAGGCCUAACACAUGCAAGUCGAACGGCAGCACAGUAAGAGCUUGCUCUUACGGGUGGCGAGUGGCGGACGGGUGAGGAAUACAUCGGAAUCUACUUUUUCGUGGGGGAUAACGUAGGGAAACUUACGCUAAUACCGCAUACGACCUACGGGUGAAAGCAGGGGAUCUUCGGACCUUGCGCGAUUGAAUGAGCCGAUGUCGGAUUAGCUAGUUGGCGGGGUAAAGGCCCACCAAGGCGACGAUCCGUAGCUGGUCUGAGAGGAUGAUCAGCCACACUGGAACUGAGACACGGUCCAGACUCCUACGGGAGGCAGCAGUGGGGAAUAUUGGACAAUGGGCGCAAGCCUGAUCCAGCCAUACCGCGUGGGUGGAGAAGGCCUUCGGGUUGUAAAGACCUUUUGUUGGGAAAGAAAAGCAGCAGGUUAAUACCCCGCUGUUCUGACGGUACCCAAAGAAUAAGCACCGGCUAACUUCGUG
rnacentral:rRNA from 1 species